ACUUUUUGUGUGAUAGUAACUAUAUGAAAUUAUAUAGAUCUAUAAAUUGUCUGACCCAUAUAUCUUGAAAAAUGAGAUAAUUCUAAAUUUCCAGUGAAAGAACGCACUGAAAAUGCGUGUGCGAACUAGACUCUAGAGCAGGGACCUUCACGUAAUGUAUGCGCGCACCCCUGGCCACCCCUUGGGGGCGCCCCUGACUAUCAACUACAGCUAAGCAACAGUCUACAACGUGUUUAGGAAAACUGUUAUUGUUCAUUAGAUAAUAGAGGUAAUCAGCAGGCCUACUGUUAAAUCAUAAUGUAACGUUGAUUAGAUGGACUGAUUAACUAGCUAGCCAGCUAGAAUAGCUAGCCUCCAUAAUAAGAUCAUCACUUACAGUACAGCGCUGUUUGCUAAAGUAGUUUCUAAUGUCUCCUCCGUUCUCUUGGACAUUGUGAGUUUGGGAUGAUGUAAAUUAGGCUACUGUAGUCGAUCACACCGGUGUGAUUAGAACGGUCAGUGCAUGACGUGAUCAACUGCUAAAUUCAAAUGUGCUUUCGCGCGUUGGCUGGCGCUGAGUAUUUCGGGAGAAGUGGAUUAAUUCACGUGUUGUAAAUCCAACAGACCCGAUUCUCUGAACUGCGUCUGCGGCACAAAUCGCGCAUACAGCUCAACUAACGCGAUCGUUAUAAAGGUGUUUAAACAGCAAAACACUUCAACUUGCAUAUAUUUGACAAUCGGAAUAUCA
ensembl:lncRNA